GCCUUUGUGGUGUAGUGGUCAGCACGCUCGGCGUGUAUUCGAGAGGUCCCUGGUUCAAUUCCCGAUGAGGGCA
rnacentral:tRNA from 1 species